UGAGCUCAUCACCACUGCCCGGAGCAGAAGUGGUAAACAAGUUUGCCCUCUGCCUCCCACCCCUGAGAGGAAGCAAGGAAGAGAGUGAGGUGGGGGCCCACAAGCACUCCACCAGGCCCAAGCCAUCUGCAUAACACAGGCCUGCAUGGUGAGAUAAUGUCUAAGAGAUACUUGGAGUUACUUGGAGGAAGAGGCCAGACAGUGAGUGACCAGAGAGCGAUCUCAUGUUUAAGGCUGCAGAGCACCCACCGUGCGGAUGAAAUCUAACUUGGUGAACCUUGCUUACCAGGAGGCAUCCGGGCAGUCUCAUCACAGGUGAGCAGGACCUCUUCUAAAAUGACCAGCCACACACAGUGGUUAAGAAUCCACCUGCCAGUGCAAGGGACACGGGUUUGAUCCCUGGUCCAGGAAGAUCCCACAUGCCGCGGAGCAACUAAGCCCGUGUGCCACAACUACUGAGCCCACGUGCCACAACUACUGAGCCCGAGUGCCUAGAGCCCGUGCUCCACAACAAGAGAAGCCACCACAAUGAGAAGCCCGCGCACUGCAACGAAGAGUAGCUCCCGCUUGCUGCAACUAGAGAGAGCCCACGCACAGCAAUGAAGACCGACACAGCCAAAAAUAAACAAAUAAAUUAAUAAAUAAAAUUUUCUUUAAUUAAAAAAAAUAAUAAAAUGACCAGCCACGGCACGUGGCACUUAGUGGGCUCGCAACAAAGAGUAUUAAGUGAAUGUCAAGUGAAAGGAUAGAGACAUUGGGGAAAGGUCUUUGUUACUCAGGUCACUUGUCAGGGGGAAGUUUCGCCUCCAGUCACACUGUUCUCCCUGGGGCUAUAGAAGGCUUGAAGGCUUCUGCUCCCCUGGUCUGAGAUCCCCAAGCCCCACCCUCUAGGAACUGCUCACUGGGCUGGUCCUUUGCAGAAAUUCUUAAACUUCUCAGAAUCACUGAUGGGCUUGGGGUGGGGACUUUGAUGGGGAAAGCAGUAUAAAAUGCAGGCUUCUGGAUUCAGUGAAUUUCAAUGGGGAGAUUGUGGGAACAUUUUGAACAAGUGCUCCCCUGAUUCUGAGGCAGGUGGGUGAUCUGUGGUCUACAUUUUGAGAAACAAAAGCUCAGUGCCUAUCUCCCUGAAUGCUAAGAAAUGACCUUGAGCAGAAAUUUGGUAUUUUUCGCUCCAAGAAGGGCUGGGUUUUAUUUCUACGGAAGAAGUUCUGUGGAUCUAUGGAAACUUCGGGGGCUUAGGCAUGGUCCUUUAGAGCAGGGGUCCCCAACCACCGGUCCUCAGCCUGUUAGUAACCAGGCCGCACAGCAGGAGGUGAGUGGCGGGCUAGCGAGUGAAGCUGCAUCUGUAUUUACAGCUGCUUCCCAUCUCUCGCAUUACCACCUGAGCUCCACCUCCUGUCAGCAUUAUGGUGAGUUGUAUAAUUAUUUCAUUAUAUCUUUCAAUGUAAUAAUAAUAAAAAUA